rnacentral:rRNA from 1 species
GUGCCAGCAGCAGCGGUAAUACGGAGGGUGCAAGCGUUAAUCGGAAUUACUGGGCGUAAAGCGCACGCAGGCGGUUGAUUAAGUUAGAUGUGAAAUCCCCGGGCUUAACCUGGGAACUGCAUUUAAAACUGGUCAGCUAGAGUCUUGUAGAGGGGGUAGAAUUCCACGUGUAGCGGUGAAAUGCGUAGAGAUGUGGAGGAAUACCGGUGGCGAAGGCGGCCCCCCUGGACAAAGACUGACGCUCAGGUGCGAAAGCGUGGGGAGCAAACAGGAUUAGAUACCCUGGUAGUCCACGCUGUAAACGAUGUCGAUUUGGAGGUUGUGCCCUUGAGGCGUGGCUUCCGGAGCUAACGCGUUAAAUCGACCGCCUGGGGAGUACGGCCGCAAGGUUAAAACUCAAAAUGAAUUGACGGGGCCCGCACGAAGCGGUGGAGCAUGUGGUUUAAUUCGAUGCAACGCGAAGAACCUUACCACUCUUGACAUCCAGAGAAUUGGCAGAGAUGCCUUAGUGCCUUCGGGAACUCUGAG